UUCAACCCGAAUGCGUUCCACAAGUCGUAUCCACAUAUGAUAUUUUGUGGUAUUACCAAAAAUUCUAUCGACUUAACCUGACCUUGAAAUUUAAUCUCAAUGGUAACUGUUCCAAACACGCACUGACUCUUACCGUCCGCUGUAUUAACCUUGCCAAUACAUUUACAAAAUCCGUUCCAUUCCUGUACCUUGUCGAUUAAAACGCGCCAUGGCUUGAGUUUACCGCUAAGCGGGGAAGAAGAUGAUGACAUUGUGAAUGUUGAGCGGCGAGGACACAAGAACAAUGAUAGCAAAUAGAAGAUGUUAAAUCCAAUAAUCAGUGAGGACGUCUAUUAAGGAUUUGUGGAUGAAUACAGAAAGCACCAUGCCUACCGUGAGUCGUACCAUUCUAAAUUUUGCCACAUGAGUUUUUCAACCGUCGCCAACCUCAAAUGGGUGCAUUGCCGAUAGAUCGUGUUACAUCAUAUAUUCGUGCUUUUACUUACACUGGUAUGGGUUAUUUUGUAAUGCUUGUCUGUUAUGCAUUAGGAACUUUAUAAAUCGACGUGGCGUGCCGCUUGUAAUUUGCGUUGACAACGGCAUUAAUUUUGUUGGUAUCCAGAAAGAGUUGCAGGGUGAGAAAAACUUUAUAGAUAAUGAUAAGAUGGCUUUAUCUCUUACAGCAUUGGGUAUUCAAUGGAAGUUCAACCGCGAGUCCAUGCGAAGAUGGAUGGGAGAGACUCGUGCAGUCGGUCAAGAAGGCCUUUCAAGUAAUGCUGCGCGAACAUUUACCCAUACUUAAAACCUUACAAAAUUUUUUAAUUGAAGCUGAGAAAAUGGUUAAUUCUAGACCACUGACGCAUUUGACUGUUACAUCAGAAGAUCCCGACCUAUUGCCGCCAAAUCACCAAAGUGGUGUCUUCCUAACCAUCCUGUCAACAUUGGAAGCCUUGUUUUUAUAUGCGCUCAGACAUUCGCCGCUCUCAGUGGAAGUGUGAGUUGUUAAAUUGUUAACUGGGAAAGAAGGCGUCACGCGCUGUGCAAGAAUCAGCACCAGUUCCGCUUUUUAUAGGAGGUGGUGAAGCCUGCCUAUCCGGGUCAUUUCACGGGGUGAAGAUGUCGAUGAUGGUCACUCCAAAGUGGGCGUAAGUGAUGGUCACUCUGAAGUGGCCGUUGAAGAUGGUCAUUCAUAAAGUGGGCAAAGUAAAGGGGUUGGAUGUGGCUUAGCAUAACUUGUGGUUGUAUAAAAGCCCUUUAGGCCUUGAUUGUUUUCUUUUUGCUUGGACAACUAAACUAAACAUGUAAGGUUAUCGUUUAUAACUUGUUAAAUUUUUAAAUUCUUCUUAUUAGCGAAUGAACAUUAUACAAUCAUUUAAACAAUCAAUUAUAUUAUUAUUUGUCUUGGAUGUCGACUUUGAUUGUAUUACUGCCUAUUGCUUGGUAAUUUGUUUGGUUUAUCCACCGCCGUCAGCCAUUAGCAAACAGUACAGCCAUAAAUACCUAUAUUCUGAUUUAGGGUCCUGAGCCCAUAAGAGGUGCAUUUAAUAUCAAAUGUUGUUGAAAUUUCAAACGGUGAGUUAUUCAAUGUCCCUCGAUGUCCCAAUCGGACAAUAUUUAGAUACAACUGUCAUAUAGACCGAUGUCUUGAUAUAGGGUCUUAAUGCCAUAGCAAGCGCAUUUAGUACCCGACUUCGGACCCGACAGAUCGGACCUAUUUAAAUGUAGCCGCCACAUUGACCUACUUGUCAAUAUAGGGUCUUAACCCAUUAACGCCUUACCCUCGAUUCCAUUGUCCGAUUUGGAUGAAAUAUGUAUUCGUUAUUUA